rnacentral:lncRNA from 1 species
CGGUCGGAAGAAGUCUGGAAGGGAUUCAAAAAAUAGUUGAUCACUAUAAAAGGUCGGCUGAUAGUGAAGCCCAAAGAGCUUUUGGAGCGGCCCGGUAGAUGAAUGGAGAAGCUCAUUAUCGGAGAAGUCCGAAUAGAAUUCUGAAAGCUCGGACGGUCGAGGGAGUUCAAAAAGACGCCACACAAGGUCGGACAUCGGAAAAGCCCUGGAAGGGUCGGUCUUUUGCAAACUUCGGCUGG